rnacentral:lncRNA from 1 species
UAACUUGAAUUUGUUAGAUCUCUUACAGAUUUUUGUCAGGCCUUUCAGAUUGUUUGAUGUGAUGAACUGGGCCAGAAGCGGCUGGGGAUGUUUUGGAUGACCAAUGAUGGAACAGAAACUAUGGUUUGAUGGAAGUACAAACCUGAUAUGUGAUUUUUCCAACAUGAGCAGGCGUUGAACAUUGGAAGACGGUUCAUUUAUGAUCGAGAAAACGGUAUGUGGCUUUCUGUACAAUCGAGGUGUGUAUUCUAAAGAAAGUUUUGGAAGAGUGAAGAAAUAUGGACUUCCAUUGUUGCUAUUUCAAGGUGAAGGUGUAAAGCUUUAUUCCAGCUUGAAUCAAAUAAACAUUGUUUGGUCAAGGACCGCAUGCCUACUGAGGCAGAGACUACAGGGCUUAUGUGGACUAGGAGUUGAUAUUUUAUGUUAUUCGUAAGCUAAUAUUGAAAUCCAAUGUCAUUAUGCAUAUCAAAAUAUACCGUGUUUGUGUGUUUCAAAGGUUGGUGACAUUGGUGGUGUUAAAGCCUUGGAGAAUUCAUUAUAGUUUUUUAGUUUUUGGUACAUGUUAAGUGUUAUAAUAGAAAACGGACACAACAUUAAUAAAGUUCUAAUAAU